UACGUAGGGCGCAAGCGUUGUCCGGAAUUAUUGGGCGUAAAGAGCUCGUAGGCGGCCUGUUACGUCUGCUGUGAAAUCCCGGGGCUUAACCCCGGGCGUGCAGUGGAUACGGGCAGGCUGGAGGCAGGCAGGGGAGAACGGAAUUCCCGGUGUAGCGGUGGAAAUGACGCAGAUAUCGGGAGGAACACCGGUGGCGAAGGCGGUUCUCUGGGCCUGUACUGACGCUGAGGAGCGAAAGCGUGGGGAGCAAACAGG
rnacentral:rRNA from 1 species